rnacentral:lncRNA from 1 species
GGCUUAAGUCCUGAGAUUCAGGUUAGGGCACUUGCUCCAUGGUGUCUUUGGCCUCUGUGUCUUUAUGUGUAAAUAAAUAACUGUUAUCCCUACCUUCAUCUGCAGGUAGUCUGUGAUGAUCAAAACAAAGAAAUGCAUUAUAAACUAUGUUUAUUUUAUUUUGUAGUUUAUAAACUGUCAUUAUCAGGUGACACAGGGAACUUCAGUGAUGUCACAGAACCAGGCUGCUUAUUUUUAAAUUGUUACGGCCAUUUUUUAUUUGCAGUGUAGUGUCUUUCUCAUUAUAAACUUAGAAUUGGGAAGAUAUAACAGUUAGACAAAAUUAUACCAAGCAUCCAUCUCAUUGUAGAAGAUAUUUAUAUCUAUUUAAGAGAUACCUCUAAAUGCCAAGAACAACCACAGAUAAUAUACCCUAGUUUCUGGUUCUUCAUAGCUUCAUUGUGGAACCAGGCACUGUUUGAAAACAGCUUGUCACAGUCCCUGUCGGCUUGCAUGAGAUAUUUCAGUCAUGAGACCAGAAAAUUCCUCUGCCCAUCCCAACCUUUCAUUCGAGUCUCGCUGUAAAGGAGAGCUCCCUCUAACUCAAAGUAUAUCUUUAUUCUCGUUCAAAGGAGGCCAUGACCAGGCUGGGGUGUAGCUCUGUGAUAAGUAGGUUCUAUGUAUGCUACAGCCCCAAUAUUGCCACUAGUAAUAAAAAAGAAAAGUUAGGAUGAUCAAGUCACUUUUGAUUUAUCUAGAACUAUGUUUCAAAAAUACAUCUAUUGGGCUGGUGAGAUGGCUCAGUGAGUAAGAGCACCCGACUGCUCUUCCGAAGGUCUGGAGUUCAAAUCCCAGCAACCACAUGGUGGCUCACAACCAUCUGUAACGAGGUCUGACGCCCUCUUCUGGAGUGUCUGAAGACAGCUACAGUGUACUUACAUAUAAUAAAUAAAUAAAUCUUUAAAAAAAUACAUCUAUUGAUUGAUUGUGUCUAUGUGUUGGUGUGGAUAUAUGUGUAUGCACAAGCAGUUGCCAUAGCAUGUAAAUAGAGAUCAGAAGACAACUAGGGGAAGUUGGCCUCUUCACUGAAUGGGUUUGAGAAUUGAACUCAGGUUGUUGGGGUUGGCAGCAGGCACCUUAACCCACAGAGCCAUCUCACCAGCCCUAGUCCCUGGGCCUAUAUUAAGCUAUUCAAAGAAGAAAUACCUAGUAUUUGGAUCAGCCAUGAAUUGACUCACUUUUGCCUUUGUGAUCUAGGAGUGACCUAGGUCAACUGUUUCUUUCCAGAUUCUUUAUAGUUUGAGUUAGUCCCUCCAGGGUGGAGUCUAAGAAGAAAUUCUGGUAGAUGACUUGAGGCAGAAUUCUCAUCCUUGGUGCAAGGAAGGGAGCUCAGGUGUGGAGUGUGGCAGGUAUGAAUUGGGACUUAAGCUUUACCCUUAAGAUCUCCAGUCCCCAGUCCCCAGUCCCAUGGCUCUACUCACCCUGAUCCCUCCUGCCUGCAGUUUUUGACAUUGCUAUUAACCAUUAUCCAGAAUGUUAAGUGAAAAACUGUAGAUAUAAACUGUCUAUGAGUUUUAAAUUACUUUUAUUACAGUAUAGUUAUUCUCUUUUAUUAAUAUCUUGCUAUGCUCAAUUCAUAAGUUAAAUUUUGUGAUGUUUAUAUAUUGGUCAGAUACUUCUAGGUUCAUGGUAGCAUUCCAUCAUGAUAAGCCCAUUAUAUGUUAAAAGUGAUUUUUAAUAACAGCUGACCCUGCAAACGAACAUCAUGGUUUAGCUUAGCCUAUCAUUUUGUUUAAUGAAGCCAAGUUGGAGUUUAUUAAGACAUUUUAGCAGAGAUAUAAGCAACAGGCAUUAGCGGGGAAAGAGGUGCUUAGGAAAAGGACAGCACAUGCCCAGGAGUGAGCACGAGCUGCUUCUUCUUCUUCUUCUUCUUCUUCUUUUUUUUUUUUUUUUUUUUUUGGUUUUCUCGAGACAGGGUUUCUCUGUGUAGCCCUGGCUGUCCUGGAACCUCCCGAGUACUGGGAUUAAAGGCUAAGAGUUACAUGGCCUGGCCCGUUUAAAAUGUGGGCAGUCAUAUGACAUACUAUGUCUGCAUCAUAGUAAAGGGUGACUGUCUUCUGUGGUUUAUUGCAUGUCUGUAUCUAAAGCCAUCAGUGAUACGGUAUACUGGGAGUGCUUGCUCACAUCCUCACAGCAGCCUCUCUGACAGCGAGCUGUAUCGUGCUACUGGGUGCUGCUGCUGCCAGGUAUCAAAAACAGGAAGCACCCCCCCCU